CGCCUCAUUCGCGCGUGAAGCUCGCGCGAAAGGCGCAAAUUGAGCGUUGUGCACGGUACGCGCGAAUGGUGCUUUUCGUGCAUUUUGCGGUUCACGCGAAUUUGCGGCUGACGCCCGAGUUGAAAAAUUUGAACUUUGGCGGAAUUUCGCGCCGCGUUAACCAAUCAGGAGCCUGCUUGCUGCUGUGGUGGCAGCCCCGCCCGGAGUCACUCACUCAACCAACGCUUGAUAUUGUCCGUGAGCAGUCACCCGGAGCUAUACGACACAAGUUCUUAUUUCUAUAGAGGAGACAGGAAUAAAAAGGACCUCGCUUGGAAGAGUGUCAGUGAGGACUUUGGGCAACCUGGUAAGUUGUAAUACACACUUCACUUUUGAGUCACGUGACGUUUAUCGACCCCCGCCGUUUAUUUUCCCCCUAUAGUAUGGUUACCAAAUACAAACUGGUAGCUCUCUUGAUAAAUGCACAAUCAACAUAAAUCAUCUUGCAAACAGACAACCGCAUAGCACUUGCCCCUCCCACAAAUGCUUACUUUUUCCGUGCGUCUACUCCGCUCUACACGUGCGAAUGCAUUCAAACUGUUCAAGCGGCAAAUUAGGCGUGGUAGACGCGAUUUUGAAGCCUGAAACGCGGUUGGUGUAAACUCAGCUUAAGAGGAAUUAUUGAAAAACGUAAAAUAAAUCUUUGGUGUCCCCAGAGUACAUAAGUUCUAUCUCAAAAUACCAUAUAGAAAAUUUAUUAUAACAUGUUAAAACUGCCACUUUGUCCUUAUAAAUGCUCUUUGAGCUGAUCUCUGCACUAAGUGGCAGUGUCGUGGUUGGAUAGUGCAGAUUAAGGGGCGGUAUUAUCCCCUUCUGACAUCACAAGAGGAGGGCAGACCUGCAGGAACUCUCCCAUCGCCUGCCUCUCUCGGCCAUCUGCUGCAGUCUGUCCCACCUCAUCCUGACAGCCAUGACUGAGACAGAAACUUCGGCAGAACGUCCAUCCAUCAGGAUCUGACCACACACACAG